rnacentral:rRNA from 1 species
UAGAGUUUGAUCCUGGCUCAGGACGAACGCUGGCGGCGUGCCUAACACAUGCAAGUCGAGCGAUGAAACCCUUCGGGGUGGAUUAGCGGCGGACGGGUGAGUAACACGUGGGUAACCUGCCUCAAAGAGGGGGAUAGCCUCCCGAAAGGGAGAUUAAUACCGCAUAACAUUAUUUUUUCGCAUGAAGAGAUAAUCAAAGGAGUAAUCCGCUUUGAGAUGGACCCGCGGCGCAUUAGCUAGUUGGUGAGGUAAUGGCUCACCAAGGCAACGAUGCGUAGCCGACCUGAGAGGGUGAUCGGCCACAUUGGAACUGAGAUACGGUCCAGACUCCUACGGGAGGCAGCAGUGGGGAAUAUUGCGCAAUGGGGGAAACCCUGACGCAGCAACGCCGCGUGGGUGAAGAAGGCCUUCGGGUUGUAAAGCUCUGUCUUCUGGGACGAUAAUGACGGUACCAGAGGAGGAAGCCACGGCUAACCACGUGCCAGCAGCCGCGGUAAUA